rnacentral:rRNA from 1 species
UACGUAGGGUGCGAGCGUUGUCCGGAAUUAUUGGGCGUAGAGAGCUCGUAGGCGGUCUGUCGCGUCGGUCGUGAAAACUUGGGGCUUAACCCUGAGCUUGCGGUCGAUACGGGCAUGACUGGAGUUCGGCAGGGGAGACUGGAAUUCCUGGUGUAGCGGUGAAAUGCGCAGAUAUCAGGAGGAACACCGGUGGCGAAGGCGGGUCUCUGGGCCGAUACUGACGCUGAGGAGCGAAAGCGUGGGGAGCGAACAGG